rnacentral:RNase_P_RNA from 1 species
UUGGCAGACCAGACAAUCGCCGUUUUGUGUAGACAAAAGGGAGGAAAGUCCGGGCUACACAGGGCAACGUGCUAGCUAACGGCUAGGGGGCGAAAGCCUACGACCAGUGCAACAGAGAGCAGACCGCCUAGUAAUAGGUAAGGGUGAAAGGGUGAGGUAAGAGCUCACCGCAUGGCUGGCAACAGUUCAUGGCAGGGUAAACUCCACGUGUAGCAAGACCAAAUAGGAACUCAAUGGGCGGCCCGUUCAGAGUUCGGGUAGGUUGCUUGAGCGUAUUGGCGACGAUACGCCUAGAUGAAUGAUUGUCCACGACAGAACCCGGCUUAUCGGUUUGCCAAUUUU